GAACGUCCUCCUACAAGCUGAGAGUAGGAAGCACCAAAACAGAAUCUAUUCAUGGGAUCAAAACUACGGAAUCACCUCCAACUUGUUCAAUUAAAUGCCCAUCAUCCACUUCCAAUACAAAUUGCAGACCAUACCAACCUCCUUAUAUCUACAAUCUAUUAGUAAUCCAAUUAAGAGCUAAAAUUGGGUUAACUCCGUUGUAGUUUUUUGGGUUGAAUGGAGGUGUUUUUGCUGUCUUCUUAUUAGUUUGCACAAGCAAUUGAA
rnacentral:misc_RNA from 1 species